rnacentral:rRNA from 1 species
CUGGAAUGGUUCCUGACUAAAAUCUAUAUGGCCUCUGGAUUGGACUGCGGCCGAUCAGGCUGUUAGUGAGGUAAUGGCCCACCAAACCUGUAACCGGUACGGGCUCUGAGAGGGGGAGCCCGGAGAUGGGCACUGAGACAAGGGCCCAGGCCCUAUGGGGCGCAGCAGGCGCGAAACCUCUGCAAUAGGCGAAAGCCUGACAGGGUUACUCUGAGUGACUUUCGCUAAGAAAGUCUUUUGGCACCUCUAAAAAGGGUGCAGAAUAAGGGGUGGGCAAGUCUGGUGUCAGCCGCCGCGGUAAUACCAGCACCUCGAGUGGUCAGGAGGUUUAUUGGGCCUAAAGCAUCCGUAGCCGGCUUUGCAAGUCUCCGGUUAAAUCCAGCUGCUCAACAGAUGGGCUGCCGGAGAUACUACACAGCUAGGGAGCGGGAGAGGCAGACGGUAUUCGGUGGGUAGGGGUAAAAUCCACUGAUCCAUCGAGGACCACCAGUGGCGAAGGCGGUCUGCCAGAACGCGUUCGACGGUGAGGGAUGAAAGCUGGGGGAGCAAACCGGAUUAGAUACCCGGGUAGUCCCAGCUGUAAACGAUGCAAACUCGGUGAUGCAUUGGCUUAUGGCCAAUGCAGUGCCGCAGGGAAGCCGUUAAGUUUGCCGCCUGGGAAGUACGGACGCAAGUCUGAAACUUAAAGGAAUUGGCGGGGGAGCACCACAAGGGGUGAAGCCUGCGGUUCAAUUGGAGUCAACGCCGGG